AGACUACGGAGACAGCCAUCUUUGGAGUCUUACUGCCCCCUGCUGGGAGACCCCGUGCAUCGUUAAGGAUUCCAACUGCCGUAAAACCUCGAAGAAGAACGAAGACACUUAACCUACGUCACAUCCGGAUAGAUAGUUCAGUUGAACGUACAGCAGACUGAAGACGUGCGUUUAACGUCCAGCAUUAAGAUGAAAAGGACUGCAGAGAUGAGGCCCGGGCCCUGCCCUGCUCAGACCUCCUGACUGACAUCUGGUGCUCAAGUAUGACUUAAGGAGUGGAAAACUCGGCGCUGCUGAUGAGUGCAGAAGUCGGUCGCAUCAAAGCUCUCGAGGGAGGUCAAGUGGCUUCACAGCUUCCAGCCGGCCUCAAUGAAAGGAGUUCACCAAGUAACCACGUGGGUCGACGUUGUGGCUCCUCAUUGAAACCAGAGUGAACUGCAAACUUGAGGGUUUCACCAAUAUGACGAGACUUUGAUGCAGGUGAAGAUCCCGAUUUCCCCAAAGUCAGUCGGAUGGCUCUUCGGAUUUCAUCAGGGAGUUGGAGAAUCUGCUGAGGAGAAAUAAGUCAUAUUUGGAUGUCUAACAUUUGGAUAAUUCCCAGUUUUCCCUGAUUUGCAAACUUGUACAUCUGCAGAAAAGUCCAAUUCUGUAAUAGGCAAGAGGAAAGAAUAUUUGUGUCCAGAGUUUUAAUAAUCGCAGUAAGAUUUCUGUUCAUGUUAAAAUCAUUUGAGUUUGACGAGAAACACUGUUAAAAUAAACAUCAUCCUAAACAUA